rnacentral:ncRNA from 1 species
ACCCCCGUGAAAAUGCCCUACAGUUCCCCGCCCGGAAACAAGGAGCCGGUAUCAGGCACAUUCAAUUUAGCCCACGACACCUUGCUCAGCCACACCCUCAAGGGUACUCAGCAGUGAUAAACCUUGACACAUAAGUGAAAACUUGAAUCAGUUAAAGCUAAGUAGGGCCGGUAAAACUCGUGCCAGCCACCGCGGUUAUACGAGAGGCCCAAGUUGUUAGAAAUCGGCGUAAAGGGUGGUUAAGAAUAAGAUUAAAAUUAAAGCCGAACAUCUUUAGUAGCUGUUAUACGCUUUCAAAGACAAGAAGCCCAACUGCGAAAGUAGCUUUAUAUUUUCUGAACCCACGAAAGCUAAGGUACAAACUGGGAUUAGAUACCCCACUAUGCUUAGCCGUAAACAUCGACAGUUUAUUACAUUUUCUGUCCGCCUGGGUACUACAAGCAUUAGCUCAAAACCCAAAGGACUUGGCGGUGCUUUAGACCCACCUAGAGGAGCCUGUUCUAGAACCGAUAUUCCCCGUUCAACCUCACCUCUCCUUGCCUCUCAGCCUAUAUACCGCCGUCGUUCAGCUUACCCUGUGAAGGGCAAAAAGUAAGCAAAAUUGGCACUGCCCAGUACGUCAGGUCGAGGUGUAGUCAAUGGAGUGGGAAGAAAUGGGCUACAUUCCCUUGUCUUCAGGGAACUACGAAUGGUGCACUGAAAAUGUGUGCCUGAAGGAGGAUUUAGCAGUAAGUAGUAAUUUAGAAUAUUCUACUGAAGCCGGCUCUUAAGCGCGCACACACCGCCCGUCACUCUCCCCGAGACUUUAAAUUCACAUUAACUAAAAUAUUAAAUAUCAUAGAGGGGAGGCAAGUCGUAACAUGGUAAGUGUACCGGAAGGUGUACUUGGAAAAC